rnacentral:rRNA from 1 species
AAAACGACUCUCGGCAACGGAUAUCUCGGCUCUCGCAUCGAUGAAGAACGUAGCGAAAUGCGAUACUUGGUGUGAAUUGCAAAAUCCCGUGAACCAUCGAGUCUUUGAACGCAAGUUGCGCCCGAAGCCGUCAGGCCGAGGGCACGCCUGCCUGGGCGUCACA